ACUGCUCAGUAACACGUAGUCAACAUGCCCAAAGGACGUGGAUAACCUCGGGAAACUGAGGAUAAACCGCGAUAGGUCAUAAGUACUGGAAUGUUUUAUGGCUCAAAUCUACAUGGCCUCUGGAUUGGACUGCGGCCGAUCAGGCUGUUGGUGAGGUAAUGGCCCACCAAACCUGUUACCGGUACGGGCUCUGAGAGGAGGAGCCCGGAGAUGGGCACUGAGACAAGGGCCCAGGCCCUAUGGGGCGCAGCAGGCGCGAAACCUCUGCAAUAGGCGAAAGCUUGACAGGGUUACUCUGAGUGAUUCCCGCUAAGGGAAUCUUUUGGCAUCUCUAAAAACGGUGUAGAAUAAGGGGUGGGCAAGUCUGGUGUCAGCCGCCGCGGUAAUACCAGCACCCCGAGUGGUCGGGACGAUUAUUGGGCCUAAAGCAUCCGUAGCCGGUCUUGCAAGUCUUCCGUUAAAUCCACCUGCUUAACAGAUGGGCUGCGGAAGAUACUACAAGACUAGGAGGCGGGAGAGGCAAGCGGUACUCAGUGGGUAGGGGUAAAAUCCUCUGAUCCAUUGAAGACCACCAGUGGCGAAGGCGGCUUGCCAGAACGCGCUCGACGGUGAGGGAUGAAAGCUGGGGGAGCAAACCGGAUUAGAUACCCGGGUAGUCCCAGCUGUAAACGAUGCAGACUCGGUGAUGGGCCGGCUUCAUGCCGGCUCAGUGCCGCAGGGAAGCCGUUAAGUCUGCCGCCUGGGGAGUACGGUCGCAAGACUGAAACUUAAAGGAAUUGGCGGGGGAGCA
rnacentral:rRNA from 1 species